ensembl:lncRNA
CUUUCCCGUGAAGGUACCGGCAAUUUCCAAAUGCUGGCAGUGCCCGAGGCUUUAGAAGAAGGACUAUUCAAAGCCUUAAAUUUCUACUCUCUGCCCACCUUCAUCCCGUCGGAAGAAGCGAUGCCACAGGGUUUUAAGAGCUCAUAUUCUGGGCAUUUUCAACCAACGAAGGGCUGGGGUCGCAUCACUCGACUGCUCACUCUUGGAAAAGUACGGGCAACCCUGUUCUUCAGUAACACAUGGAAGGCCAGAAUCCCGGAAGCCAGCUGGUCUUGCCAUUGCUGCUGCUGCUGAGUCGCUUCAGUCGUGUCCGAC